rnacentral:rRNA from 1 species
UACGGGGGGGGCAAGCGUUGUUCGGAAUUACUGGGCGUAAAGGGCUCGUAGGUGGCCAACUAAGUCAGACGUGAAAUCCCUCGGCUUAACCGGGGAACUGCGUCUGAUACUGGUUGGCUUGAAUCCGGGAGAGGGACGUGGAAUUCCAGGUGUAGCGGUGAAAUGCGUAGAUAUCUGGAGGAACACCGGUGGCGAAGGCGACGUCCUGGACCGGCAUUGACGCUGAGGCGCGAAAGCCAGGGGAGCAAACGGG